rnacentral:rRNA from 1 species
AGAGUUUGAUCCUGGCUCAGGACGAACGCUGGCGGCGCGCCUAACACAUGCAAGUCGAACGGAGCUUGUUAAUUUGAAUCUUCGGAUGACGAUUGAUAAGCUUAGUGGCGAACGGGUGAGUAACGCGUGAGUAACCUGCCUUAAAGAGGGGGACAACAGUUGGAAACGACUGCUAAUACCGCAUAAGCCCACAGUACCGCAUGGUACAGUGAGAAAAGAUUUUAUCGCUUUAAGAUGGACUCGCGUCUGAUUAGCUAGUUGGUGGGGUAACGGCCUACCAAGGCAACGAUCAGUAGCCGACCUGAGAGGGUGAUCGGCCACAUUGGAACUGAGACACGGUCCAGACUCCUACGGGAGGCAGCAGUGGGGAAUAUUGGGCAAUGGGCGCAAGCCUGACCCAGCAACGCCGCGUGAAGGAAGAAGGUUUUCGGAUUGUAAACUUCUGUCCUUGGUGACGAAGAAAGUGACGGUAGCCAAGGAGGAAGCCCCGGCUAACUACGUGCCAGCAGCCGCGGUAAUACGUAGGGGGCAAGCGUUGUCCGGAAUGACUGGGCGUAAAGGGCGUGUAGGCGGCUUUUUAAGUGUGAAGUGAAAGUCCUGCUUUCAAGGUGGGAAUUGCUUUGCAAACUGGAGAGCUUGAGUGCGGAAGAGGUAAGUGGAAUUCCCAGUGUAGCGGUGAAAUGCGUAGAGAUUGGGAGGAACACCAGUGGCGAAGGCGACUUACUGGGCCGCAACUGACGCUGAGGCGCGAAAGCGUGGGGAGCGAACAAGAGUAGAUACCCUGGUAGUCCACGCUGUAAACGAUGAAUGCUAGGUGUAGCGGGGUAUCGACCCCUGCUGGCCCCAAUAAACACAAUAAGUAUCCAUCCUGGGGCAGUUCGGCCGCAAGGUUGAAAAUCAAAGGAAUUGACGCGAGCCCGCACUAAGCAGUGGAGUAUUGGAGUUUAAUUCGACGCAACGCGAAGAACCUUUCCGGGACUUGACAUCCUAAGAAGACCGGGUAAUGCCGGUUGUACCCUUCGGGGAACUUAGAGACAGGUGGUGCAUGGUUGUCGUCAGCUCGUGUCGUGAGGAUGUUGGGUUAAGUCCCGCAACGAGCGCAACCCUUACGGUUAGUUGCUACGCAAGAGCACUCUGGCCGGACUGCCGUUGACAAAACGGAGGAAGGUGGGGAUGACGUCAAAUCAUCAUGCCCCUUACGUCCUGGGCUACACACGUACUACAAUGGCGUCCAACAAAGGGGAGCCAAGGAGCGAUCCGGAGCAAAUCCCAAAAAGACGUCCCAGUUCAGACUGUAGGCUGCAACCCGCCUGCACGAAGUUGGAAUUGCUAGUAAUCGUAGGUCAGCAUACUACGGUGAAUACGUUCCCGGGCUUUGCACACACCGCCCGUCA